CUUCACAGCAGAGUCAGAGAACUAAGUGACAAGUGGAGCAUCGUCCUCCUCCUGCUCACUUCCUCCUCGCCACCUCUCUGGCCUGGCUAUCCUUCAGUCUGAAGAGUGAUUCACUUUUUCUUUUCUUUUUAGUCUUUACUGUGGAAUCUCAUCAAAGACUUGGAAGGAGGGGUGGUGAGAGGGGCGUGGGGGGUGGUGUGGAGGGUCGAGUUCUCUGUCGUCCCACAGUCACCCCCAGGACCACCUUGCGAAGCCGAAAAUACACACCUGCAUUUUACCGACAAGGAACGCCACUCAGAAAGCUGCAGACAUUUGCCUGGGGUCACGCUUACAGUGGGCAGAUGAACUGGAUGUAAAUACAGAAUUACCUAACUUUCCUUGACUAUGAAUUCAACAUUCAAGAAUCUUCUUCUGGUAGCAGGAGCGGCAGAGAGGACAGGCAUGGAAAGGAGGCCUGUCUCCCACGGAGAACUCCUCUAGUGCCAGCAGACACGCAUGGUGGAACACGUGUGAGCAGGACAGGAGGGCCAUCUCUCUGGAACGCCGGCCCGCGCCCACGCGCUGACCGCCAGCAGCGGAGAGAGGGGCCAGGCAGAUGGAGCACUCGUGGGUCUCCCGGCGCAGAGCCUGCGGCACACAGGACGGGAAGAGGCCACGCGGGUUAGUUUCAUCACAGCAGAAAGUUACUUCAACUGAAAUGCGAACCACGUGCCCCGAGACAUGGGUCUUCGAAACAUGCGGAAGUUUCAUUCUGUGUUAAAAUCACAGGCAUUAUAUAUAUAUAUAUACACACACACACUCUGUUACUCCUGGGAACUGUGGAAAGGGUUAGUAACCCACCUGUGAUAAGCAACAUCCAACAGGAACUUCCAGAAUUUCAAACUGAAGGGACCUUUGCCGUCACCCUAAAGCCCAUGAGGAAAGUCCUACCACAGGUGCAGGGGCAGCUAGGGCAGCGGUUACCCCGGACCUGACACUCCUAGGUUCCCCAAAGUGAGUCCUCGACCUCCCCCGACAUGCCACCCCCACAGCCUCCACGGCUGCACCCCGGACCUGACACUCCUAGGCUCCCCAAAGUGAGUCCUCGACCUCCCCCCACAUGCCACUCCCCACAGCCUCUGCAGCUGCAGCUGAGUCUGCUGGUUGCCAGGCUGCCAGCCAAACCUACCUGCACUUGGAUUUUCUCCCAUUCCUCUUCUGUGAUCUCAUGGCCACAUUUUUCUUCCAACUGCUGAAGAACACUUCGAUUUAUGGCCAAGCACUGAUCGAUUUCUGCAAAGAGCUCUUCAAUGUUGGUGUUGUAUGAGCACAGGAUGCGGUGGCUGAUUUCUGUGAACUGAGGAGGACAGAGCGGGGGGUAAGCUCACACCUGAGCUCGGUGGAGGUUGCAGGGAAGCGCUCUCGAGCCUGACCAUCUAUUUUGGUAACCUUCCUCGUCUCUGUCUUCGAAUAAUACUUUUUAGGGAAAUAGAUAUAUGUCUAUUUUACUUAACUAUAAAUCCAGAUAAUCUAUCUGGACAGAUGACCACAAGAACCCCUAUCUGAUGGAGUCCAGAACACACUACCCCAAAAUACGGCACCUUGGCAUACUGAAUAUUUUAAGGAAAAAACAUUCCUUCCCAAAGGAAUUUGAGAAAUGACGGCUGCAGGAGGGACCGUCUGACCUCUCCCCACCCCCAAAGUGGGUCAUAGGACCCUCCUGUGAGAGGCACCCUCGUCUCCAAAGACGGAGGGAGCCGGGAGGAGACAGCACACAGGCCUUGCCGUGGUUCCCACCGACCACCCUCAGCUCACCCCUUGUCCUGUCACGCUUCCCCACGACCUCUGUGUCCUCAUCCAACCUAGCAUAGAAAGCGCUCAGGCGUUACUGCCUCUUCGGGUCUCUGCUGCCCCUUCGGGUCUCCGCUGCCUUAGGAAGGCUUCCAUAUCACAUGGGACUUACUAAGUAAAUCCGUGUAAUUUUCUCGUAAAGCUUAACUUACAGGGCUCCAGCUGAAGAAUUUAGGAGGGUAGGGGAAAAGGGUAUAUUGUUUCCCUCCCCUGCUGUUUUCUUGGUUGUGAGCUUUGACCAUUAGCAGGAACACAUUUGAAAUUAAAAGUUGAGAGAAAAGUUCAAAUUUCGCAGGAUCAGCUCUGUCCCAUAGAAACAUACUGUGAGCUACGUAUGUAAUUUUAAAAUUUCUGGCAGUCACAUUAAGUUUUUUAAAAGGCGAAAUUAAUUUUAAUAUUGUAUCUGACCCAACAUAUCCAAAAUAUUAUCACUUCAACGUUUAUUAAUUGAAUACAGUACUUUGUGUUUUUUUGGUAUUUUUGUUUGGUUUGGUGGAGACAGCAUCUCGCUCUGUCACCCAAACUGGAGUGCUUGGGGCCAUCAAUGCUCACUCAGCCUCGGCCUCCCGGGCUCAAGCCAUCCUACACUAGAAAGGUCUGAGUCAUUACAGAGUGGCCACCGGUGUCAUCUGAGGCACAGGUAGGUGGCUCAUUCAGGGCCACACCAGCAGCUCCUUUUUAGGACAUGUGAAGAGUGUAAAGCAAAGGAGAAUAAGGUGUGUAAAAGGUUGUGCCAAUGGUGACUGUCAGCCACGCUUCCUGCCCUCUUGCUUGUCCUUUCAAGUGCAGAGCUGUGGCUCACCCAGAGAUGACAUUUCCCAUUCCCCCAUGCCCAGGUGGGGCCACGUGAAGUAGUUCUUCCAGAUGGACGUGGCUCAUGUCUCUUCUGGGUGUUCUCCAGGCCCGGGGGGUGGCAGAUAAAGGGCAGAGGGAGACAGUUCCCGAGCCCCACAGGCUGGCAUGUUGCCUGCAAGCCAGGACACCUGAACUGUCCUAUGAGACCGAAGCUCUGGCUUUCAGUCACUGAAAUUCGGGGGGUUAUUUGUCCAGCAGUGAGAAGUUCCCUGAUUCAGCAGUUACAUCUGCUUCAUGGAAUCGAGCUUGAAGCACAAAGAAGGAUGAAAUGAACAAGUCCCGUGGAGAUCUCACACAUUUAGAUAUGUGAUGGGGAAAAUGCAUUUUGGAUGGUCCAUGACUGUCCAGGUUUCAAAUAUUCUAGUCUACUGGAGUCCUCACGUUCACUUUUUCUUUUUUUCUUUUUUUUAUUAAUGUGGAGCAACCUGGCAGAACGUAGUAUUUAAAUCACCAGACUUCUGAAGGUGCCUUUGAGGACAUGGAGUUCUCUUCCAAUUCUCUCCCUUCUGCAAAAAGAUCGUGAGACAGCGCAGGGUCGAGUGCUGUGGAGACUAUGAGCUGCCUUUGUCCCUGGGAUGUUAGAAGAAUGAGUAUGGCUCUAAGGAUGAGAGGUCCUUUUGAGUAAAGAACAUUCUGUGAACACAGCAGGCAGUCCACAAGGGUUGGGGUUUGAAUGAAGGGGGUGGCUGAGGAUCUUCCAGGCACCUGUGUUUUGGGAUUAGCCGUACUUGGAAGCCUGGUGGAAGCUGCUUUUCUAUUUAUGAGUCAAAUGCUCUUUCACUCUGAAUGUAAUUAUAACUGCCAAGCAGCUGUAUCUUAAUUUAGGGUCUUGAAUCGGUAACGUUUCCUAAGGCUUUAAUUUUAAUUUUCUUUAUUCC
rnacentral:lncRNA from 1 species